rnacentral:lncRNA from 1 species
AAGUUCUACCUCCUUAAGGGGCUCUAGAGGUAGAGAUGGAGCUUCUUGCAGGAAUGGAGAGGAUUCCACCUUCUCAGGAAACUGCAGAAGCUGAGAAGGGGUCUCUUGAGAGACCGGAAGAGGUUCCACUUUGUCAGCAAGUUCUAAAGACUGGGCUGGGGAUUCCUGNACAAAAAACUUUCUUUGGUUUAAACUCUGACUGUCCAGAGGUGGAGCAAGUAUUUCCAAUGACUGGUGAUAUUCUGGCUCAUCUCCAGGUUUCAUCUUGCCUUUGAGUGGAGGAGGCAGAACUAUGGCCUGAUUCUCAUCACCUAACAUUGGAACACUUGUAAGAGCCUCUCGUGCAGGGUUGGCUUGUCAUUCAGAUACUGAUCUGUCUCUGGGGGCAGCUCACCAUUUGUAUCCGUGUCCAGGAAUGGAACCAAAGUCUCAGUCAACUGCUUAGGCGGGGCGAUAUCUGGGCUGGAGCAGAGGACCUCAAGUUAUUAAAGCCCCCGGCUCUGCGGGGUGGGUAAGUUCCUGGAGCGAUUCAUGCAGGAGUUCAAAAGAGUGGGAAGACCAGGGUUCAGGGGAUCUCGAAGGCUUCAGGUCCGACGGGCCCACUCCCGAAGGGGAGCUGCCUGGCCCAACAACCACAAUGGUUGUCAGGUAAAGAGAAGUAAUAAAACGCAGAAGCAAAGACGGGUCAUGAUACUCUGCGGAGCAGAGACCCAAGCCAGUGGGGUGCUUGGUCUCGCCAUAGAAACGGAAGUGUUCAGGGAGCCCUGGGAUGCCCCCAUUGUUAGCAACUGCGCGCCCCUCCCCCGCCCAAGUCCCACCCUUUAUUUAUGACACCUUUAGUAGCUUGGCACAGCUGGGGUGCGGCUGGGCCCUGAAGCCCCUCCUUCAAGCCUUUUCCCCAGAAUCCCCAGGCCAAGCCUUCCUUCCCCUGCAAAGGCCACCACUACCUCCCGCUGAGCUAAGGGGAAGCAUUUGGGCUGCUGGAGUCUGCAUGGACCCAGACUCCAGCGCUCUGAGGUGUAAGGGUCGGGGUGUGGAGCAGAAUCAUAUUUACUCAAUAUGUCAGUGCCAGAAACAAAAAAUGAAACCGAACUGAUUCAAAAAACAUAAUCUAAUAAAUUCUCCAAGAGGAAAGCA